AGUCGACGGGAUCCAUCAAGCUUGCUUGGUGGUGAGAGUGGCGAACGGGUGAGUAAUGCGUGACCGACCUGCCCCAUGCUCCGGAAUAGCUCCUGGAAACGGGUGGUAAUGCCGGAUGUUCCACAUGAUCGCAUGUGAUUGUGGGAAAGAUUCUAUCGGCGUGGGAUGGGGUCGCGUCCUAUCAGCUUGUUGGUGAGGUAACGGCUCACCAAGGCUUCGACGGGUAGCCGGCCUGAGAGGGCGACCGGCCACAUUGGGACUGAGAUACGGCCCAGACUCCUACGGGAGGCAGCAGUGGGGAAUAUUGCACAAUGGGCGCAAGCCUGAUGCAGCGACGCCGCGUGAGGGAUGGAGGCCUUCGGGUUGUAAACCUCUUUUGUUUGGGAGCAAGCCUUCGGGUGAGUGUACCUUUCGAAUAAGCGCCGGCUAACUACGUGCCAGCAGCCGCGGUAAUACGUAGGGCGCAAGCGUUAUCCGGAUUUAUUGGGCGUAAAGGGCUCGUAGGCGGCUCGUCGCGUCCGGUGUGAAAGUCCAUCGCUUAACGGUGGAUCUGCGCCGGGUACGGGCGGGCUGGAGUGCGGUAGGGGAGACUGGAAUUCCCGGUGUAACGGUGGAAUGUGUAGAUAUCGGGAAGAACACCGAUGGCGAAGGCAGGUCUCUGGGCCGUCACUGACGCUGAGGAGCGAAAGCGUGGGGAGCGAACAGGAUUAGAUACCCUGGUAGUCCACGCCGUAAACGGUGGACGCUGGAUGUGGGGCACGUUUCACGUGUUCCGUGUCCGAGCUAACGCGUUAAGCGUCCCGCCUGGGGAGUACGGC
rnacentral:rRNA from 1 species